GCCAGGUGUGGUGGCGGGCGCCUGUAGUCCCAGUUACUCGGGAGGCUGAGGCAGGAGGCUUGCUUGAACCCAGGAGGCGGAGGUUGCAGUGAGCUGAGAUUGCAUCACUGCAUUCCAACCUGGGUGACAGAGCGAGACUCUGUCUCAA
rfam:Chlorocebus sabaeus isolate 1994-021 chromosome 16, whole genome shotgun sequence.